CAGUCGCCGCGGUAAUACGGAGGGAGCUAGCGUUGUUCGGAAUUACUGGGCGUAAAGCGCGCGUAGGCGGUUACUCAAGUCAGAGGUGAAAGCCCGGGGCUCAACCCCGGAACUGCCUUUGAAACUAGGUGACUAGAAUCUUGGAGAGGUCAGUGGAAUUCCGAGUGUAGCGGUGAAAUGCGUAGAUAUUCGGAAGAACACCAGUGGCGAAGGCGGCUUACUGGCUCAUACUGGACGCUGAGGUGCGAAAGCGUGGGGAGCAAACAGGAUUAGAUACCCGUUUAGUCCCUGUCUCUUAUAC
rnacentral:rRNA from 1 species